rnacentral:rRNA from 1 species
UACGUAGGGGGCAAGCGUUGUCCGGAUUUAUUGGGCGUAAAGAGCGUGUAGGCGGCCAGGUAGGUCCGUUGUGAAAACUGGAGGCUCAACCUCCAGCGGUCGAUGGAAACCAUCUGGCUAGAGUCCGGAAGAGGAGAGUGGGAUUCCUGGUGUAGCGGUGAAAUGCGCAGAUAUCAGGAAGAACACCCGUGGCGAAGGCGGCUCUCUGGGACGGUACUGACGCUGAGACGCGAAAGCGUGGGGAGCGAACAGG